rnacentral:rRNA from 1 species
GGAGCGGUCCGGGCGAGGCUUGGCGGCCAGUCGGUUCAGGAUAAGGGGCGGAUGCCCACGUACAAAUGGAGUAAGCUACGCCUUUCGAUACGCUUUCCAAUUUAAACCUUCGGCGUUCUCGAUGCUUCUCAAGGCGGAGGGCCAAGGCGCGCGUCAAAUGGGGGAUGCGAGGAAUAUUUCGCGCUCCGUCGUUCAUUCCGUUUUAAUACGGGGGUCAUUCCCACCCAUCUAAAAGGAACCUCGCGAUUAAACCCCCGGGGCGAAGCGCGUGCGUCGUCGCUCGUCGGCGAUCACGCGUUCAUCGUCUCGGGUUAACCUCGGCAUGGUCGCGUUUUUUCGGUUCUGGGUCGGCGAUUGGCUUUCAUGAGCGUUUCGGGCAUUCCUCGUUUUUUCUUCCCUGACGCCGUCCCUCGCGCGGAGAUAGAUAUUAUUUCGAGUCGUCGGGGGCUGGUUGGCGAUCGUUGGGUCCGUUAGCCCUCUUUUUUUCGUACUUUACGGGUUUAUCCCGACCCGAUGCCGGACCGGCGCGCCUUCCUCCCUUCCGUGGACGCCGGCAGGCUAGGACGGGGGGCUCGGUGGAGGGGUGUUCGGGAGACGUCCGGGGGCGUGGGUGUGCGCUCUUACGCCAUUACCCGCUAACCCUCGACUCUCCUAUCCCUCGCCGGGCCUGGUCGUUGGUUUUUUUGCGUUCCGUCGCCCGAGGAAGGUUCGCCCUUCUCUCGCAUCUUCGGUUUCGCGCCGCGGCCACCGUCUCGGCUGGCUCCUAGCGUCCAACUCAGAACUGGCACGGACCAGGGGAAUCCGACUGUCUAAUUAAAACAAAGCAUCGCGAUGGCCUAAACAUGGUGUUGA